AAUCAACGCUGGCGGCGUGCCUCAGACAUGCAAGUCGAACGAUUAAGACUUCCUUCGGGAAGUGCAUAAAGUGGCGCACGGGUGAGUAACACGUAAGUAAUCUACCCUCGAGUGGGGAAUAACGUUCGGAAACGAACGCUAAUACCGCAUAAUGCAGCGGCAUCGCAAGAUGACAGUUGUUAAAGGAGUAAUUCGCUUGAGGAGGAGCUUGCGGCAGAUUAGCUAGUUGGUAAGGUAACGGCUUACCAAGGCUACGAUCUGUAUCCGGUCUAAGAGGACGGUCGGACACACUGACACUGAAUAACGGGUCAGACUCCUACGGGAGGCAGCAGUCGGGAAUUUUGGGCAAUGGGGGAAACCCUGACCCAGCAACGCCGCGUGAAGGAUGAAGUAUUUCGGUAUGUAAACUUCGAAAGAAUGGGAAGAGUAAAUGACGGUACCAUUUAUAAGCUCCGGCUAACUACGUGCCAGCCGCCGCCGUAAGAC
rnacentral:rRNA from 1 species